GGCAGCUUACUGGACCAUUACUGACGCUGAUGCACGAAAGCGUGGGGAGCGAACAGGAUUAGAUACCCUGGUAGUCCACGCCGUAAACGAUGAUCACUCGCUGUUAGCGAUACACAGUUAGCGGCUAAGCAAAAGCAUUAAGUGAUCCACCUGGGGAGUACGGCCGCAAGGCUGAAACUCAAAGGAAUUGACGGGGGCCCGCACAAGCGGAGGAACAUGUGGUUUAAUUCGAUGAUACGCGAGGAACCUUACCUGGGCUUAAAUGUAGAGUGCAUUGAGAGGAAACUUUCAUUUUCUUCGGAACUCUUUACAAGGUGCUGCAUGGUUGUCGUCAGCUCGUGCCGUGAGGUGUCGGGUUAAGUCCCAUAACGAGCGCAACCCUUAUCGUUAGUUGCCAGCGGGUAAUGCCGGGAACUCUAGCGAAACUGCCGGUGUAAACCGAGAGGAAGGUGGGGAUGACGUCAAAUCAGCACGGCCCUUAUGUCCAGGGCUACACACGUGUUACAAUGGCCGGUACAGAGGGCAGCUACCUGUUGACAGGAUGCGAAUCUCCAAAGCCGGUCUCAGUUCGGAUCGGAGUCUGCAACUCGACUCCGUGAAGCUGGAUUCGCUAGUAAUCGCGCAUCAGCCAUGGCGCGGUGAAUACGUUCCCGGGCCUUGUACACACCGCCCGUCAAGCCAUGGAAGUUGGGGGUACCUGAAGUCCGUAACCGUAAGGAGCGGCCUAGGGUAAAACUAGUGACUGGGGCUAAGUCGUAACAAGGUAACCGUA
rnacentral:rRNA from 1 species